rnacentral:rRNA from 1 species
UACGAGGGGUGCAAGCGUUGCUCGGAAUUAUUGGGCGUAAAGGGUAGGUAGGUGGUCUUAUUUGUCUGGGGUGAAAGCCUUGGGCUUAACUCAAGAAGUGCCCCAGAAACGGUAAGACUAGAGUCCUGGAGAGGGUCGUGGAAUUCCCGGUGUAGCGGUGAAAUGCGCAGAUAUCGGGAGGAACACCGGUGGCGAAGGCGGUUCUCUGGGCCUUACCUGACACUGAGGAGCGAAAGCGUGGGGAGCGAACAGG